rnacentral:lncRNA from 1 species
AGGAAGAGAACAAGAGUGGCAGCAUGUCAGGAGCCCUCACCGGGACUGGAGCAGAUGCCACUGGGCCCUUCCAGGAAUUCUUUGGUUCUGUUGGGUUCUGGUUCCCUCCGUGUGAUGGAAAACAACUCAACAAACCUAUUUGCCUUUGGAUUUUGAAACAUAUUAAGAAAUCAGAAAUAAUCGAGUUCAAAGUGCCACACACCUUGAUGAUGUGCACAUCAGUGGGCAUUGAUUUUGUGACUUUGCCAAGUACACAGGCCGUUCGUCAGAAUCCUGAAAUCCUGAGAGAAGGUGACCCUGAGAUAGCACUAAUGGUGCGUUCAACGUGGGGAGCUCACACCUGUCCCGUGAAAAGGACCCACAUGUUUCUUCUCUGGUCUACUUAUCUCCCUCAGUAUAGAAUACCACCUUGUACACUUCCUUGGCAAAUUGCUUUAGUGCAUUAGAUCUACAGUACUACAAUCUAAAUCCAUAUUAGACUUCAAUAUUAAUGUUUGUGUUAACCAUAAACACAAAAUACAAACACUACCGAUUUUUAUGAAUUAGUGAUACUAAUAUUAAUUUUUGUGUUAACUGUGAACUUCAAUACUAAUUUCAAUACUAAUUAAAUACUAAUUUUUGUGUUAACCACAAAUGCGUAAUAAAGAACAGUAAGAGAAAAUAAGAGGAUGUGGAAAAUCAAUAUUAGUUCUAAAUGUUCUUAUUUCGUUCCCAAUGUUUUGUAUCAAACUGUUUAUAGCACAUGAUUUUUCCUCCCAAAGUACUGCCUUCAUGCUCUAGGAAAAUUUGCUUUCAAUUUUCAAUAAUCAAAUGGUAAAUUUAGUUUAAAUGAUCUUCUUUAAAAUGAAAACACUUGAUUCUGAGAAGAUUUUUCCUAAUUGGC